rnacentral:rRNA from 1 species
CCUACGGGUGGCAGCAGUGAGGAAUAUUGGUCAAUGGACGAGAGUCUGAACCAGCCAAGUAGCGUGAAGGAUGACUGCCCUAUGGGUUGUAAACUUCUUUUAUAUGGGAAUAAAAUGUUACACGUGUGCGCUUUUGUAUGUACCAUAUGAAUAAGGAUCGGCUAACUCCGUGCCAGCAGCCGCGGUGAUACGGAGGAUCCGAUCGUUAUCCGGAUUUAUUGGGUUUAAAGGGAGCGUAGGUGGGUUGUUAAGUCAGUUGUGAAAGUUUGCGGCUCAACCGGAAAAUUGCAGUUGAAACUGGCAGUCUUGAGUACAGUAGAGGUGGGCGGAAUUCGUGGUGUAGCGGUGAAAUGCUUAGAUAUCACGAAGAACUCCGAUUGCGAAGGCAGCUCACUGGACUGCAACUGACACUGAGGCUCGAAAGUGUGGGUAUCAAACAGGAUUAGAUACCCGAGUAGUC